AAAGAAACCAACAGGGAUUGCCCUAGUAACGGCGAGUGAAGCGGCAACAGCUCAAAUUUGAAAUCUGGCUUCGGCCCGAGUUGUAAUUUGUAGAGGAAGCUUUAGGCGCGGCACCUUCUGAGUCCCCUGGAACGGGGCGCCAUAGAGGGUGAGAGCCCCGUAUAGUUGGAUGCCUAGCCUGUGUAAAGCUCCUUCGACGAGUCGAGUAGUUUGGGAAUGCUGCUCAAAAUGGGAGGUAAAUUUCUUCUAAAGCUAAAUAUUGGCCAGAGACCGAUAGCGCACAAGUAGAGUGAUCGAAAGAUGAAAAGCACUUUGAAAAGAGGGUUAAAUAGCACGUGAAAUUGUUGAAAGGGAAGCGCUUGUGACCAGACUUGCGCCGGGCGGAUCAUCCGGUGUUCUCACCGGUGCACUCCGCCCGGCUCAGGCCAGCAUCGGUUCUCGUGGGGGGAUAAAGGCCCUGGGAACGUAGCUCCUCCGGGAGUGUUAUAGCCCAGGGUGUAAUGCCCUCGCGGGGACCGAGGUUCGCGCAUCUGCAAGGAUGCUGGCGUA
rnacentral:rRNA from 1 species